CUACGGGCGGCAGCAGUGGGGAAUAUUGCACAAUGGAGGAAACUCUGAUGCAGCCAUGCCGCGUGUGUGAAGAAGGCCCGAGGGUUGUAAAGCACUUUCAAUUGGGAGGAAGGUUAUGUAGCUAAUACCUGCAUAAUUUGACGUUACCUUUAGAAGAAGCACCGGCUAACGCUGUGCCAGCAGCCGCGGUAAUACAGAGGGUGCAAGCGUUAUUCGGAAUUACUGGGCGUAAAGCGCGCGUAGGCGGAUUGUUAAGUCAGAUGUGAAAGCCCUGGGCUCAACCUGGGAACGGCAUUUGAUACUGGCAGUCUAGAGUUUAAGAGAGGGAAGGGGAAUUUCUAGUGUAGCAGUGAAAUGCGUAGAUAUUAGAAGGAACAUCAGUGGCGAAGGCGCCUUCCUGGCUUAAAACUGACGCUGAGGUGCGAAAGCGUGGGUAGCGAACGGGAUUAGAUACCCCUGUAGUC
rnacentral:rRNA from 1 species